rnacentral:rRNA from 1 species
GAUGAACGCUAGCGGCAGGCCUAAUACAUGCAAGUCGAACGGAUAUAUGUUUUUCGGAAUAUAUAUUAGUGGCGCACGGGUGAGUAACACGUACAUAACUUGCCCUCAAGCGGGGGAUAGCCUUGGGAAACUGAGAGUAAUACCCCAUAGAAUUAUUGGACGGCAUCGUUUGAUAAUUAAAACUACGGUGUUUGGGGAUAGAUGUGCGUCUGAUUAGCUAGUUGGUGAGGUAACUGCUCACCAAGGCGACGAUCAGUAGGGGGCGUGAGAGCGUGGCCCCCACACGGGUACUGAGACACGGACCCGACUCCUACGGGAGGCAGCAGUAAGGAAUACUGGUCAAUGGAGGGAACUCUGAACCAGCCAUGCCGCGUGAAGGAUGACGGCCCUCUGGGUUGUAAACUUCUUUUGGAUGGGGCGAAAAAACGGGAUUUAUCCUGGACUGACGGUACCAUCAGAAUAAGCACCGGCUAACUCCGUGCCAGCAGCCGCGGUAAU